CCUACGGGAGGCAGCAGUGAGGAAUAUUGGUCAAUGGACGCAAGUCUGAACCAGCCAUGCCGCGUGCAGGAUGACGGCCCUAUGAGUUGUAAACUGCUUUUGUACGAGGGUAAACCCCGAUACGUGUAUCGGGUUGCAUGUAUCUUACGAAUAAGGAUCGGCUAACUCCGUGCCAGCAGCCGCGGUAAUACGGAGGAUCCGAUCGUUAUCCGGAUUUAUUGGGUUUAAAGGGUGCGUAGGCGGUUUGAUAAGUUAGAUGUGAAAUUUCGGGGCUCAACCCCGAAACUGCCGUUAAUACUGUUGGACUAGAGAAUAGUUGCGGUAGGCGGAAUGUAUGGUGUAGCGGUGAAAUGCUUAGAGAUCAGACAGAACACCGAUUGCGAAGGCAGCUUACCAAACUAUAUCUGACGUUGAGGCACGAAAGCGUGGGUAGCAAACAGGAUUAGAUACCCUUGUAGUC
rnacentral:rRNA from 1 species